rnacentral:rRNA from 1 species
AUUGAACGCUGGCGGCAGGCCUAACACAUGCAAGUCGAGCGAGCGGCGGACGGGUGAGUAAUGUAUGGGGACUGCCCGAUAGAGGGGGCGAACUACUGGAAACGGUGGCUAAUACCGCAUACUAACGGAUAACCCAUAUGGGAUUAGCUAGUAGGUGGGGUAAAGGCUCACCUAGGCGACGAUCUCUAGCUGGUCUGAGAGGAGGCUCAGCCAAACUGGAACUGCGACACGGCCCAGACUCCGAGGGAGGCAGCAGCGGGGAAUAUUGCACAAUGGGCGCAAGCCUAAUGCCGCCAUGCCGCGUGUAUGAAGAAGGCCUUAGGGUUGUAAAGUACUUUCGGCGGGGAGGCGUUACCCGCAGAAGAAGCACCGGCUAACUCCGUGCCAGCAGCCGCGGUAAUUC